CCUACGGGGGGCAGCAGUGAGGAAUAUUGGUCAAUGGGCGGAAGCCUGAACCAGCCAAGUCGCGUGAGGGAUUAAGGCCCUGCGGGUCGUAAACCUCUUUUGCCGGGGAGCAGUGGUCCGGACGCGUCCGGACCGGGAGAGUACCCGGAGAAAAAGCAUCGGCUAACUCCGUGCCAGCAGCCGCGGUAAUACGGAGGAUGCGAGCGUUAUCCGGAUUUAUUGGGUUUAAAGGGAGCGUAGAUGGGUUGUUAAGUCAGUUGUGAAAGUUUGCGGCUCAACCGUAAAAUUGCAAUUGAUACUGGCAGUCUUGAGUACAGUUGAGGUAGGCGGAAUUCGUGGUGUAGCGGUGAAAUGCUUAGAUAUCACGCAGAACUCCGAUUGCGAAGGCAGCAUACCGGCGCUCAACUGACGCUCAUGCACGAAAGUGUGGGUAUCGAACAGGAUUAGAUACCCCGGUAGUC
rnacentral:rRNA from 1 species